rnacentral:tRNA from 1 species
GCUGGUGUAGCUCAGUUGGAAGAGCAGUUGUUUCGUAAACAACAGGUCGACAGUUCAAUCCUGCCCAUCAGCUCCA